rnacentral:rRNA from 1 species
UGCNCANNGUUAAUCGACGCAGGGUUAGUCGGUUCCUAAGGCGAGGCUGAAAAGCGUAGUCGAUGGGAAACAGGUUAAUAUUCCUGUACUUCUGGUUACUGCGAUGGAGGACGGAGAAGGCUAGGCCAGCUUGGCGUUGGUUGUCCAAGUUUAAGGUGAUAGGCUGAAAUCUUAGGUAAAUCCGGGGUUUCAAGGCCGAGAGCUGAUGACGAGUCGUCUUUUAGAUGACGAAGUGGUUGAUGCCAUGCUUCAAGAAAAGCUUCUAAGCUUCAGGUAACCAGGAACCGUACCCCAAACCGACACAGGUGGUCGGGUAGAGAAUACCAAGGCGCUUGAGAGAACUCGGGUGAAGGAACUAGGCAAAAUGGCACCGUAACUUCGGGAGAAGGUGCGCCGGCUAGGUGAAGGAUUUACUCCGUAAGCUCUGGCUGGUCGAAGAUACCAGGCCGCUGCGACUGUUUAUUAAAAACACAGCACUCUGCAACACGAAAGUGGACGUAUAGGGUGUGACGCCUGCCCGGUGCCGGAAGGUUAAUUGAUGGGGUUAGCGCAAGCGAAGCUCUUGAUCGAAGCCCCGGUAAACGGCGGCCGUAACAAUAACGGUCCUAAGGUAGCGAAAUUCCUUGUCGGGUAAGUUCCGACCUGCACGAAUGGCGUAACGAUGGCGCUGUCUCCACCCGAGACUCAGUGAAAUUGAAAUCGCUGUGAAGAUGCAGUGUAUCCGCGGCUAGACGGAAAGACCCCGUGAACCUUUACUGUAGCUUUGCACUGGACUUUGAGCCUGCUUGUGCAGGAUAGGUGGGAGGCUUUGAAGCGUGGACGCCAGUUCGCGUGGAGCCAUCCUUGAAAUACCACCCUGGCAUGCUUGAGGUUCAACUCUGGUCCGUAACCCGGAUCGAGGACAGUGUAUGGUGGGCAGUUUGACUGGGGCGGUCUCCUCCUAAAGAGUAACGGAGGAGUACGAAGGUGCGCUCAGACCGGUCGGAAAUCGGUCGCAGAGUAUAAAGGCAAAAGCGCGCCUGACUGCGACAGACACGUCGAGCAGGUACGAAAGCAGGUCUUAGUGAUCCGGUGGUUCUGUAUGGAAGGGCCAUCGCUCAACGGAUAAAAGGUACUCCGGGGAUAACAGGCUGAUACCGCCCAAGAGUUCAUAUCGACGGCGGUGUUUGGCACCUCGAUGUCGGCUCAUCACACCUGGGGCUGAAGCCGGUCCCAAGGGUAUGGCUGUUCGCCAUUUAAAGUGGUACGCGAGCUGGGUUUAGAACGUCGUGAGACAGUUCGGUCCCUAUCUGCCGUGGACGUUUGAGAUUUGAGAGGGCUGCUCCUAGUACGAGAGGACCGGAGUGGACGAACCUCUGGUGUUCCGGUUGUCACGCCAGUGGCAUUGCCGGGUAACUAUGUUCGGAAAAGAUAACCGCUGAAAGCAUCUAAGCGGGAAACUUGCCUCAAGAUGAGAUCUCACUGGGAACUUGAUUCCUGAAGGGCCGUCGAAGACUACGACGUUGAAGGCUGGGUGUGUAAGCGUUGUGAGGCGUUGAGCUAACCAGUACUAAUUGCCCGU